rnacentral:rRNA from 1 species
AUCUACGGUCAUGCCAACCUGAAUAAACCCGAUCUCGUCUGAUCUCGGAAGCUAAGCAGGGUUGAGCCUGGUUAAUACUUGGGUGAGAGACCACCUAGGAAGAUCAAAUGCUGUAGGCG